GAGCGCCGUAUGAGGUGAAAGCCUCACGUACGGUGUGAACAGGGAGCGAUAACUUCAAACCCUUACCCUAUCUGUAUAAUAAGAAACUUAUUUUUUAGUGUAGU
rnacentral:ncRNA from 1 species